rnacentral:misc_RNA from 1 species
GAUGAAGAACGCAGCGAAAUGCGAUAAGUAAUGUGAAUUGCAGAAUUCAGUGAAUCAUCGAAUCUUUGAACGCACAUUGCGCCCGCCAGUAUUCUGGCGGGCAUGCCUGUUCGAGCGUCAUUUCAACCAUCAAGCCCCAGGCUUGUGUUGGGGACCUGCGGCUGCCGCAGGCCCUGAAAACCAGUGGCGGGCUCGCUGUCACACCGGGCGUAGUAGAUUUUAUCUCGCUCAGGGCGUGCUGCGGGUUCCGGCCGUUAAAAAGCCUUUUUUACCCAAGGUUGCCCUCGGAUCAGGUAGGAAGACCCGCUGAACUUAAGCAUAUCAAUAAGCGGAGGA